AUGUGUGCACUGUGCCUUUAUUACUCCUGUAUGAGCGGACCAAAAUUGUCGUUAGCAGCGCUGGGAGAAAAAAUCUCUCAGCUUCUUGUCAUUUUUGCUAGCCUUCCAGAAUCACAACAGCACACGGACCUUUGCCCCAUUGAAGCGUGUGCAUAAUUUUCGUGAUGUUGUCAGAUCAAAUCAAGGAACGAAGUGACAACACUGCCCCCACGGAUGCGGAAGGAACGCCGGAGGAGCCGUUCCUUUUGUGGCGAAAGACGACAUUGAAACACUGCUACUGUACCUUCCAUCUCCGUUGUGUGCGAAUGUACCUUUAGGCCACUGAAUCUUAGGAAUAUGAUCUUACAAAUGAUCCUUGAGCUGUGGAACAGAUCCUUGAGCUGUGGAACAGAUCCUUGAGCUGUGUAAACAGAUCCUUGAGCUGUGGAACAGAUCCUUGAGCUGUGGAACAGAUCCUUGAGCUGUGGAACAGAUCCUUGAGCUGUGGAACAGAUCCUUGAGCUGUGGAACAGAUCCUUGAGCUGUGGAACAGAUCCUUGAGCUGUGGAACAGAUCCUUGAGCUGUGGAACAGAUCCUUGAGCUGUGGAACAGAUCCUUGAGCUGUGGAACAGAUCCUUGAGCUGUGUAAACAGAAAGCAAUAGUCCAACUCUUGACAAUUCUUUAAAAAAAAAGGUCAAAGAGAUUUUUGUUCAGAAAACCUUUAAUUGUAAUUAGAAUUACUUAUAAUGACAUAUUUCAAUAAAUAUUUAGUUAUAUACAGUUACAGCAGAAAUUGUAC